rnacentral:rRNA from 1 species
AUGAACGCUGGCGGCGUGCCUCAUACAUGCAAGUCGCGCGCACAGACGAGGAGCUUGCUCCUCUGACGUUAGCGGCGGACGGGUGAGUAACACGUGGAUAACCUACCUAUAAGACUGGGAUAACUUCGGGAAACCGGAGCUAAUACCGGAUAAUAUAUUGAACCGCAUGGUUCAAUAGUGAAAGACGGUUUUGCUGUCACUUAUAGAUGGAUCCGCGCCGCAUUAGCUAGUUGGUAAGGUAACGGCUUACCAAGGCAACGAUGCGUAGCCGACCUGAGAGGGUGAUCGGCCACACUGGAACUGAGACACGGUCCAGACUCCUACGGGAGGCAGCAGUAGGGAAUCUUCCGCAAUGGGCGAAAGCCUGACGGAGCAACGCCGCGUGAGUGAUGAAGGUCUUCGGAUCGUAAAACUCUGUUAUUAGGGAAGAACAAAUGUGUAAGUAACGAUGCACGUCUGGACGGUACCUAAGCAGAAAGCCACGGCUAACUACGG